GCUUGAGAAAAGUGAGAGUUUCGUAAAAACAUCGCAAGAGAAAUUUGAUUAUCCAAAGUGAGCGCAACAAAGGCUGAAGUGCUCUUCGGCGUUGCUGUUGAGUAAUGAAGGAAGAGAAAAGUGUGUGAAUACGAAAAAGAAACAAUUAUUUGAAUGAUGGCUAAGAGAAUUCACAUUAAAAAUAUGGAAAUUUUUUAAGUAGUGUUCAAAAAUUCUGGCAAGAUCACUUAGAAUGCCAAUACCACACCUAUGACCUUGUGCACCGUUACUUAUCAUGUUCAUUUUUGAAGAGUCCCAUAUUCUUUGAAAAAUGUUUUGGAAACAAGCUGGCCACAAUUGUUCAACUACUUCAGAACCCUUUGGAAAAUAUAUGUGAAAGCAAUUCUAAAAUUUUUCUCGAAUAGCUCAAAAUCCAUCAACAUUCCAAGGAUAAAUGAUGCAGACCGUGGAGCAACUUUUUUUUCAUUGUACUUUGGGUCGCGUGAUAUUUUAUG